CUUUAUUGCACCUGGUUGGUCACAAACUGUGACUGGACCCCCUGCUGCGUUGUACAAUCCAACAAGCCCAGUUAGCGGAGAUAGUGGCAUCACAGCCUGGAUUCAAGCUGGUGUUUCUGCCAGUAAAUUGGUACUCGGUCUUCCAUUUUAUGGCUACGCAUGGACUCUAGUAAAUGCUGAUGACAAUGGAAUAUUUGCUCCGGCUAAUGGAGCUGCUAUAUCCCCAGGUGGGUCAAUAGCUUAUAGCCAAAUCUUGGAUUUCAUAUCCCAGAAUAGUGCCACAACAGUGUAUAAUUCCACGUUUGUUACAAACUAUUGCUAUUCUGGGACGACAUGGAUUGGUUACGAUGAUACGAAUAGUACAUCUACCAAGGUUACAUAUGCUAAGGGAACUGGAUUGCUUGGCUACUUUGCGUGGCAGAUUGGUCAGGACCCAAAUUUCGUUCUUUCUGAAGCAGCUUCAAGUGCAUGGGGAGCGAGCUUAGAAUUAAGAGAUCAGAUGUAAAAGGCUAUAUUAUUCACAAUAAGGCCAAUACUAUCCAGUAUGUUAGCAUGUUAUAUGCAUAAAGGCCAAUGAGAAAUUUAAGCAAUGAUGUUUAUGAUGUC